AUGCAAGUCGAACGGAGCAGCAAUGCUUAGUGGCGACCGGGUGAGUAACACGUAGCUAACCUACCCCUCAGCGGGGGAUAACAGUUCGAAAGAGCUGCUAAUACCGCAUGAUUUUGCGUUGAAGAGAUAGACGCAAAUAAACUUACGGGGUUGAGGGCGGGGGCUGCGGCCCAUCAGGUAGUUGGUGAGGUAACGGCUCACCAAGCCGACGACGGGUAGGGGACCUGAGAGGGUGACCCCCCACACUGGGACAGACAGACGGCCCAGACUCCUACGGGAGGCAGCAGUAAGGGAUAUUGCGCAAUGGGCGAAAGCCUGACGCAGCAACGCCGCGUGGAGGACGACGGCCUUCGGGUUGUAAACUCCUUUUCGUCGGGACGAGCGCGGACGGUACCGACGGAAUAAGCCUCGGCUAACUACGUGCCAGCAGCCGCGGUAAUACGUAGGAGGCGAGCGUUAUCCGGAUUUACUGGGCUUAAAGGGUGUGCAGGCGGGUCGGUAAGUCGUGCAUGAAAGCCGUGCGCUCAACGCGCGGAGGCUGUGCGAGACUGUCGACCUAGAGGCUGUGAGAGGGCGGCGGAAUUCCGGGUGUAGUGGUGAAAUGCGUAGAGAUCCGGAGGAACACCAGAG
rnacentral:rRNA from 1 species